UUACGGUCAAAUCACGCUGAAACACCGGUUCUCGUUCGAUCACCGAAGUUAAGCAUCGUAGAGCCAGGUCAGUACUUAGAUAGGGGAGCGCUCGGGAACACCUGGUACUGUAAG
rnacentral:rRNA from 1 species